rnacentral:rRNA from 1 species
AAUCAACGCUGGCGGCGUGCCUAACACAUGCAAGUCGAACGCGAAAGUCCCGCAAGGGGCAAGUAGAGUGGCAAACGGGUGAGUAACACGUGGGUGACCUGCCUUCGAGUGGGGGAUAACGUCCCGAAAGGGACGCUAAUACCGCAUGACAUCCUGCUUUUGGAAAAGCGGAGAUCAAAGCCGGGGAUCGCAAGACCUGGCGCUCGAAGAGGGGCCCGCGCCUGGUUAGCUAGUUGGUGAGGUAACGGCUCACCAAGGCUACGAUCAGUAUCCGGCCUGAGAGGGCGGACGGACACACUGGGACUGAGACACGGCCCAGACUCCUACGGGAGGCAGCAGUGGGGAAUUGUUCGCAAUGGCGCAAGCCUGACGACGCAACGCCGCGUGGAGAUGAAGA